GACGAACGCUGGCGGCGUGCUUAACACAUGCAAGUCGAGCGGUAAGGCCCUUUCGGGGGUACGACGAGCGGCGAACGGGUGAGUAACACGUGGGUGACCUGCCUCUAGCUCUGGGAUAAGCCUGGGAAGGCUGGGUCUAAUACCGGAUAUGACCUCGCGGUGCAUGUUGCGGGGUGGAAAGCCUUGUGCGGCUAGGGAGUGGGCCCGCGGCCUAUCAGCUUGUUGGUGGGGUGANGGCCUACCAAGGCGACGACGGGUAGCCGGCCUGAGAGGGCGACCGGCCACACUGGGACUGAGACACGGCCCAGACUCCUACGGGAGGCAGCAGUGGGGAAUCUUGCGCAAUGGGCGAAAGCCUGACGCAGCGACGCCGCGUGAGGGAUGACGG
rnacentral:rRNA from 1 species